UACGUAGGGUGCAAGCGUUGUCCGGAAUUAUUGGGCGUAAAGAGCUCGUAGGCGGUCUGUCGCGUCUGCUGUGAAAACUCGGGGCUUAACCCCGGGCCUGCAGUGGGUACGGGCAGACUAGAGUGCGGUAGGGGAGACUGGAAUUCUUGGUGUAGCGGUGAAAUGCGCAGAUAUCAGGAGGAACACCGGUGGCGAAGGCGGGUCUCUGGGCCGUAACUGACGCUGAGGAGCGAAAGCAUGGGGAGCGAACAGG
rnacentral:rRNA from 1 species